rnacentral:rRNA from 1 species
AGUGAACGCUGGCGGUAGGCCUAACACAUGCGAGUCGAACGGCAGCACAGUAAGGGCUUGCUCUUACGGGUGGCGAGUGGCGGACGGGUGAGGAAUACAUCGGAAUCUACUUUUUCGUGGGGGAUAACGUAGGGAAACUUACGCUAAUACCGCAUACGACCUACGGGUGAAAGCAGGGGAUCUUCGGACCUUGCGCGAUUGAAUGAGUCGAUGUCGGAUUAGCUAGUUGGCGGGGUAAAGGCCCACCAAGGCGACGAUCCGUAGCUGGUCUGAGAGGAUGAUCAGCCACACUGGAACUGAGACACGGUCCAGACUCCUACGGGAGGCAGCAGUGGGGAAUAUUGGACAAUGGGCGCAAGCCUGAUCCAGCCAUACCGCGUGGGUGAAGAAGGCCUUCGGGUUGUAAAGCCCUUUUGUUGGGAAAGAAAAGCAGCAGGUUAAUACCCCGCUGUUCUGACGGUACCCAAAGAAUAAGCACCGGCUAACUUCGUG